rnacentral:rRNA from 1 species
GACGUAGGGCGCAAGCGUUGUCCGGAUUUAUUGGGCGUAAAGAGCUCGUAGGCGGCCUGUCGCGUCGACCGUGAAAACCCGCAGCUCAACUGCGGGCUUGCGGUCGAUACGGGCAGGCUAGAGUUCGGUAGGGGAGACUGGAAUUCCUGGUGUAGCGGUGAAAUGCGCAGAUAUCAGGAGGAACACCGGUGGCGAAGGCGGGUCUCUGGGCCGAUACUGACGCUGAGGAGCGAAAGCGUGGGGAGCGAACAGG